CUGGAGGGCGGCUCAGUGGGUAAGAGCACUGGAUGCUCUUCCAGAGGACCUGGGUUCAAGUCCCAGCAUCCACA
rfam:Neotoma lepida isolate 417 scaffold_1344, whole genome shotgun sequence.